UUGCUUGGGCAGCACAUAUAUGCAAUUUAAAGCAGUACAGACAGGAUCAGCACAGCCCCUGCACAUGGAUGACACAUAAAUUCUCUAAGUAUUCCAUAUUUUA
ensembl:snRNA U6 U6 spliceosomal RNA